GGAGGGGGCGAGCGUUAUUCGGAAUUAUUGGGCGUAAAGGGCGCGUAGGCGGCCCGGUAAGUCAAAGGUGAAAUCCCUCGGCUCAACUGAGGAACUGCCUUUGAAACUGUCGGGCUUGAGGCCGGGAGGGGGUAGCGGAAUUCCCAGUGUAGCGGUGAAAUGCGUAGAUAUUGGGAGGAACACCAGUGGCGAAGGCGGCUACCUGGACCGGUUCUGACGCUGAGGCGCGAAAGCGUGGGUAGCAAACAGGAUUAGAUACCCUGGUAGUCCACGCUGUAAACGAUGGGUGCUCGGUGUCGCGGGUAUCGACCCCUGCGGUGCCUUAGCUAACGCGUUAAGCACCCCGCCUGGGGAGUACGGUCGCAAGGCUG
rnacentral:rRNA from 1 species